AUUGAACGCUGGCGGCAUGCCUAACACAUGCAAGUCGAACGGCAGCGCGGGGUCAACCCUGGCGGCGAGUGGCGGACGGGUGAGGAAUGCAUAGGAAUCUUCCCGUUUGUGGGGGAUUACGUAGGGAAACUUACGCUAAUACCGCAUACGACCUUCGGGUGAAAGUGGGGGACCUUCGGGCCUCACGCGAUCGGAUGAGCCUAUGCCCGAUUAGCUAGUUGGCGGGGUAAGAGCCCACCAAGGCGACGAUCGGUAGCUGGUCUGAGAGGAUGAUCAGCCACACUGGGACUGAGACACGGCCCAGACUCCUACGGGAGGCAGCAGUGGGGAAUAUUGGACAAUGGGCGCAAGCCUGAUCCAGCAAUGCCGCGUGUGUGAAGAAGGCCUUCGGGUUGUAAAGCACUUUUGUUCGGGAAGAAAUCCGUGUGGUUAAUACCCGUACGGGAUGACGGUACCGAAAGAAUAAGCACCGGCUAACUUCGUG
rnacentral:rRNA from 1 species